CCUACGGGCGACAGCAGUCGAGAAUCAUUCACAAUGGGGGAAACCCUGAUGGUGCGACGCCGCGUGGGGGAAUGAAGGUCUUCGGAUUGUAAACCCCUGUCAUGUGGGAGCAAAUUAAAAAGAUAGUACCACAAGAGGAAGAGACGGCUAACUCUGUGCCAGCAGCCGCGGUAAUACAGAGGUCUCAAGCGUGGUUCGGAAUCACUGGGCGUAAGGCGUGCGUAGGCUGUUUCGUAAGUCGUGUGUGAAAGGCGCGGGCUCAACCCGCGGACGGCACAUGAUACUGCGAGACUAGAGUAAUGGAGGGGGAACCGGAAUUCUCGGUGUAGCAGUGAAAUGCGUAGAUAUCGAGAGGAACACUCGUGGCGAAGGCGGGUUCCUGGACAUUAACUGACGCUGAGGCACGAAGGCCAGGGGAGCGAAAGGGAUUAGAUACCCUUGUAGUC
rnacentral:rRNA from 1 species